ACGAGACUGCAAUAGAAGUGGAGUGUGAGACACAGACAAAGGAUAUAUGCGCUUCAACAAGCACUGGACCAUCAGACAUCAGUUGAUGUAAAGAGGAUCCGCCAAUGCAGACAGACCUAAAACAGUUUCCCAGGACCCUGAUGGGGGACAGGAGAAGCAGCUUCAAGGCAGGCUGGUACCAUAUCAACCCCUGGCUUGAAUAUUCUCAACAGAUGGACAUGGCGUAUUGUUACGCUUGCAGACAUUUUAGCCCUCCUAAUACUGUUUUUUUCCCUCAUCACUGUAAUGUUAUGACUACAAUGCUUUCAAAGUUUGUUGAAAUAAAAAGUCAAAUAAGA